CUGGGAUUUAGGAUGAUACACCCAUCCUAAACUGAAAAUAUUAAUAAAGAAUCUCUUUGUGGAAGAAAACACAAACCUUGUUGAAGCAUUUGGUUAUUGGUAGAAAAACCUUAUGAUUUCUCUAAAAACAACAUUUGGGAGAGGCUAUUUUUAACCAAGUAGCAGCUAGCUCAGUGUGGAUGGACCUCAGUAAUGGCCAGAUCUCUAGAGUAUCGGUGGAAGAGAUACAGAAUCACAAAAUUCGAUUUUUAAUGAGGAGCAAACAUCGUUUUGGAGUGGCGCAGCUGAGAGGCAGAGGACUAGCGGAAGAUGUUGUUUUUGGCAGAAAUGGUGGCAGGAUCAGGCGGAACAGCUGGCAAGAGUGCACUCACGGUGGGGGAAAAAAAUUAAAAAAGAGUAUCUCCUGCCUGCAAUACUCACAAUUUUGCUUGUGAGCUUCAGUCAACAGCUCUGAUUGCAAAUUUGUACGUCUGGUAACUUACUGAAUGUGGAAUCAUCACUCCUAAGAAUCUAAAAAAAUUCCUGUUGCAA